rnacentral:rRNA from 1 species
AUUGAACGCUGGCGGCAUGCCUUACACAUGCAAGUCGAACGGUAACAGGUCUUCGGAUGCUGACGAGUGGCGAACGGGUGAGUAAUACAUCGGAACGUGCCCGAUCGUGGGGGAUAACGAAGCGAAAGCUUUGCUAAUACCGCAUAAGAUCUAAGGAUGAAAGCAGGGGACCGCAAGGCCUUGCGCGAACGGAGCGGCCGAUGGCAGAUUAGGUAGUUGGUGGGAUAAAAGCUUACCAAGACGACGAUCUGUAGCUGGUCUGAGAGGACGACCAGCCACACUGGGACUGAGACACGGCCCAGACUCCUACGGGAGGCAGCAGUGGGGAAUUUUGGACAAUGGGCGAAAGCCUGAUCCAGCCAUGCCGCGUGCAGGAUGAAGGCCUUCGGGUUGUAAACUGCUUUUGUACGGAACGAAAAGACUCUUUCUAAUAAAGAGGGUCCAUGACGGUACCGUAAGAAUAAGCACCGGCUAACAACGUGCCAGCAGCCGCAGUAA